rnacentral:rRNA from 1 species
GGAGGGUCCGAGCGUUAAUCGGAAUUACUGGGCGUAAAGCGUGCGCAGGCGGUUUGUUAAGCGAGAUGUGAAAGCCCCGGGCUCAACCUGGGAAUUGCAUUUCGAACUGGCGUACUAGAGUCUUGUAGAGGGGGGUAGAAUUCCAGGUGUAGCGGUGAAAUGCGUAGAGAUCUGGAGGAAUACCGGUGGCGAAGGCGGCCCCCUGGACAAAGACUGACGCUCAGGCACGAAAGCGUGGGGAGCAAACAGGAUUAGAUACCCUGGUAGUCCACGCCGUAAACGAUGUCUACUCGGAGUUUGGUGUCUUGAACACUGGGCUCUCAACUAACGCAUUAAGUAGACCGCC